rnacentral:rRNA from 1 species
ACCGCACAAGCGGUGGAUGAUGUGGAUUAAUUCGAUGCAACGACGAAAACCUUACCAGGCCUUGACAUGCUAGGGAACCCGGGUGAAAGCCUGGGGUGCCCGCGAGGGGAGCCCUAGCACAGGUGCUGCAUGGCCGUCGUCAGCUCGUGUCGUGAGAUGUUGGGUUAAGUCCCGCAACGAGCGCAACCCUUGUCAUUAGUUGCCAUCAUUUGGUUGGGCACUCUAAUGAGACUGCCGGUGACAAACCGGAGGAAGGUGGGGAUGACGUCAAGUCCUCAUGGCCCUUAUGGGUAGGGCUUCACACGUCAUACAAUGGUCGGUACAGAGGGUUGCCAACCCGCGAGGGGGAGCUAAUCCCACAAAGCCGAUCGUAGUCCGGAUCGCAGUCUGCAACUCGACUGCGUGAAGUCGGAAUCGCUAGUAAUCGUGGAUCAGCAUGUCACGGUGAAUACGUUCCCGGGUCUU